AUAGUAGGCAGAGAAAAAGUCAAGACCAGGCAGCAUUAGAAAUUUUUUGAGUGCUUUUUAUUUGGUCAAGAAAAAGCAGAAAAAAUAUAAGUAUAAAUAUAAAAAAUAAAAAUAUAUAUAUUUGUUGGGAUAUUCUACUUUUGUUCAUUUUAUCCAUUAUUACAGGCAAGAUUUGUCUAACUUUUGCUCUGCCUGAGAAGAAAUGCAGUGCAGGACAAGUUAUAUGCAGUGCAGGAAGCAAUGUUCUAAUUAUGGUCUUAUACAUAGUCUGCUGACCAAAGGACAAGGAGUAGAACAGGCAGUGGAGGCUUACUGUGUGUCAGAGACUGUUCUUUGAACUGAGAAAUAAGCCAGGAACAAAAUAGACUGUGCUCAUCGUGGAACCUAUAAUCCAGCAGAAGGAAGAGCAAGUGCAUCAUUUAUCACAAAGAAUCCUUCAGUUCAGGGAGGAAUGAAAAGAUGGGGAGAUAUGAGAAGAAGGAAGAAUCCAAGCCCUACAACAUAAGAGCAUUGCUCUGGAAGACUUCUGCCUGGAUGUAAGACGGAUCGAUCUUGAUUCUGGCCCCAAAGCAAUUCUUAUUGCCCAAGACAUUCUUCUUCUUUGCUAACUUUGGACACUGCAUUCUAGUCAACAGGACAAAGUUAAGCAAUCACACAAAGAGGCUGUGGCAGACAUCGGAACCAUCCUCCAUUGUUUCAGCACAGGAAAGGAUUGCAUUUUCCUGCCUUCUUCAAGUGAAGUACAUCCAGAAGCUUUCUUUGGCCAAAGAAAUGUGAGCCAAGAAUUUUAACCUAUGCACCAUGAUUCCAUUGAAGACCUCCAAGGUGCAGCCAGCUGCUAAGUCAUGGCAAGUCAACAUUGUGUCCUAUCACAACAAGGCUUUGCAACAGCAAUGAUGCAAUCACUCAGUAGAUGCUGUUUAAACAUUACAUUAAAAGGCAAGCUGAAGUCCAAGGUUAUCUUGAGCAGGGAAAAGCCAUCCCGGUUCUCCCAAGCUUGAGCCUCUGGGCUGCAAUGACUCAGACUGUGGACACAGAGUUCACAAAUCCCAAUUGUAAUGAGUGGGCAACCCCAGCGCUUUACAUAAGCAAAGAGAGGAAGCGGCGUGUGUUUUGAGACUGACUGGCACCAAAGGAGACAAAAGCCUACAGUAUAAUUAUGCCAAGCAUAUAAUAUGAUGCAAUCGGUUACUGUCUCCAAUAUGCCCCACAGUGCAGCACAAGGACUUUGAAUAGUAGAAUGCUCCAGAACUGUGUGUCUGUGCCAUUGGAAGCCUGAGAAAGCUAUGGCAUCUUCUCUUCUGCCAGUCAACAGUGUCAUGGGCAUUUAUUGAGCAUCUACUGUAUACUGGGGACUGUGCUCAAUCUUGGGGAUAUAGAGUUACUCAGGGUCAAGAGUGGGCAUGGAAGCAGAUGAUCCUCCUUCUGACACAUGGUCAGAAAGUCAGUAGUGGCCUGACCCUACGUCACAACGCCUACGCCAUUCACCGCACUGCAACUCAUCACACAGGCGUUUCAUCGUCUCACAUCAUCACAAGAAAGUUAAAGAACCAUCAGCAACUUGGUAGUUCCUCAAGUAUGGAGAACACCAGUACAAGUGAGCUCUCUGAGCUCUCCAACUGCAGCUUUAUCUUCAUCUUUAAGUUUACACAACCCAUGGAUAAAUUAUAAGUUACUGCAGAGAUUCCCACCAAUGACAAACUGACUCACUGUCCUCCAAGUUCUUUCAUCUUUUUGGAUUCAACUUCUAAGGCUCUGUGUAUUCUGUUAAGAUGGAGUGUGCUAUUUGGCAAAAUUACAGAGAGUAUGCCAGCAUUCGGACACAUUUUCCAUUUUACCUGUAUAGAAAAAUGUUACCAUUGCUGAAGUUUUUUCCAUGAUUGCUUCUUGCCCCUGUAACAGGCAGCUCGUGGCCAGCUUUGUGAAAUGUUUCAUGUCUGUUCCUGUGCAGCCAUGAAAAUAGAAUGAAAGGUUUAAGUGACUUUUGUUUGUUAAAAUAUAACAAACGAUUAUCCUAGAAACACCAUACCAUUGUAGGACUAUUUUCAGUAAUGUUUUGUUUUAGCUUUUUCAUUGCCAAGUGCCCGGUUGAUCUGGGUACCAAAACCACAGUUUCAGAACAAGGUUUCAAAGAAUGGUAAUGUCAUAUUUCUCUUGGUUGGCUGACAUCUCAAAACUGUUCUGCCUGAAGCCCUCCCAGAUGAAAAGAUUAUUCUUUUGUUCUAAAAACGAUAA
rnacentral:lncRNA from 1 species